GUCAGGAUGGCCGAGUUGGUCUAAGGCGCUAGUUUCAGGUACUAGUCCGAAAGGGCACGGGUUCGAAUCCCGUUCCUGACA
rfam:Spinacia oleracea cultivar SynViroflay scaffold19019.con0004.1, whole genome shotgun sequence.